AUGUGUUCAAAGAAAAAGAAGUUGAUGUCUUUCGUAAAGUAGAAAGUUUUACAAAUGAUUGUGUUGGUGGUAUGUUGGAGCAUUUUGGAAAAGCCGAAAUGAUCUAAUUUUCUCGGGCGAAACAGUUGUGGUGGACGGGAUCUUUGCAGUUGCAUAAGCCAUGACGUUGAUGUGGAUCAAGAGCUAAGAUAGGCGACAAGAAUUAGGUUGGAAGGAGUAGCAUAAUUUUAAUUUUUAAAAUAUGAAAGUGUAACUGUCUAGGUGAGGAGUGUUUUUGGGUGUAAGGUUAUGAUUGUACUUUGACACAAGGCUUACGCAUGGCUUUGACGUGUAAUAUCAGGAUUGUUCUUUUAGCGGCGAAAGGUGGAAGUUGUUAAAGCAAGAGAGAGAGAGAGAGAGAGAGAGAGA
rnacentral:lncRNA from 1 species